rnacentral:misc_RNA from 1 species
GGAAGUAAAAAUCGUAACAAGGUUUCCGUAGGUGAACCUGCGGAAGGAUCAUUAUCGAAUUUUGAAUUAAGUUGUAGCUGGCCUUUCGGCAUGUGCACGCUUGAGUCAUUCAUUCACAACCAUUGUGCACCUUUUGGUAGGGUCGAUGACUCUGCUGUUUUAUUACAAACGUUUCAGUUACAGAAUGUUUAUCGUGCGCAACGCAUUUAUAUACAACUUUCAGCAACGGAUCUCUUGGCUCUC